UUAAGAUACUAAGGGCAUACGGUGGAUGCCUUGGCGAUAUCUGCCGAAGAAGGACGCGACAAGCUGCGAAAAGCUACGGGUAGGCGCAAAUAGCCGUUGAACCGUAGAUAUCCGAAUGGAGAAAUCCGGCGGUGGUAAUGCACCGUCACCCAUACCGACCGGUAUGAGGAGGGAACUCGGUGAACUGAAACAUCUAAGUAACCGGAGGAGAAGAAAUCAAACGAGAUACCCCAAGUAGCGGCGAGCGAACGGGGAAGAAGCCUAAACCGAAUAAGGAAACUUAAUCGGGGUUGAGGACCGACAAAAUUAGAGGAAAAGUUAGCCAAAUCUCUUGGGAAAGAGAGCCGAAGACAGUGAGAGCCUGGUAGGCGAAAACAAGAACUCUAAGGACGGAAUCCAGAGUAGUGCGGGACACGAGAAAUCCCGUAUGAAGCAGGGGGGACCACCCUCCAAGGCAAAACACAGAUAUCGACCGAUAGCGCAUAGUACCAUGAGGGAAAGGUGAAAAGCACCCCGGGAGGGGAAUGAAAUAGAACCUGAAACCGUAUGUUUACAAACAGUCAGAGACCGUAUAUAAAACAGGUCGAUGGCGUGCCUAUUGAAGAAUGAACCAGCGAGUUACGAGGGCCGGCAAGGUUAAGCAGGAAAUGUGGAGCCGAAGCGAAAGCGAGUCUUAAUAGGGCGAGAAGUCGGAAAGCGUAGACCCGAAACCACAGUGAUCUACCCAUGUCCAGGUUGAAGCACAGGUAAAAAUGUGUGGAGGACCGAACCUAUAUCUGUUGAAAAAGGUUAGGAUGAGGUGUGGGUAGGGGUGAAAUUCCAAUCGAACGUGGAGAUAGCUGGUUCUCCCCGAAAUAGCUUUAGGGCUAGCCUCAAGUGGUGAUUACAGGCGGUAGAGCACUGAUCAGGAGCGGGACCUACCCGGUUACCAAACCCAGUCAAACUCCGAAUGGCUGUAAUCAAACUUGGGAGUCAGACUACGACUUAUAAGGGCCGUGGUCAAGAGGGAAACAGCCCAGAUCAUCAGCUAAGGUCCCAAAUGCCGUGCUAAGUGGCGAAGGAUGUGGCGUUUCAUAAACAACCAGGAUGUUGGCUUAGAAGCAGCCAUCAUUUAAAGAGUGCGUAAUAGCCCACUGGUCGAGAGACGCUGCGCCGAAGAUGUCCGGGGCUCAAGCACGGAACCGAAGCUAUGGCAGACGCAAGCCGUCUGGGUAGGGGAGCGUUCUUAUUGGGGAGAAGCGAUACCGGAAGGAGUCGUGGACUGAUAAGAAGUGAGAAUGCUGGUAUGAGUAUCGAAAAGAAAGGUGAGAAUCCUUUCCACCGAAAGCCCGAGGGUUCCUGAGCAACGAUCGUCGUCUCAGGGUAAGUCGGGACCUAAGCCGAGGCAAGAAGCAUAGGCGAUGGACAACAGGUUGAAAUUCCUGUACCGGAAGAGUCUGAUUGAGUGAAGGAGUGACGCAGAAGGGCACACAAGCAUGCGAGUGGAAGAGCAUGUCUAAGUGCGUAGCCUGUAUGAUAGGAAAAACCGUCAUACGAGAAGGGUGAGACAUGAAGGGGAGUUAAAGGAGACUUUAAUGAACUUGUGAAUCCCAUGCUGCCAAGAAAAGCUUCUAGCGAGGACUCGUCCGCCCGUACCGUAAACCGACACAGGUAGGCGGGGAGAGAAUCCUAAGGUGCGCGGGAAAACCCUCGUUAAGGAACUCGGCAAAUUGCAUCCGUAACCUAGGGAGAAGGAUGGCCCCCGGUCAGUGAAGAGCAGAAACGCUCAGAGCUAAAAGGGGCGGCAGAAAAGAGGCCCAAGCAACUGUUUACCAAAAACACAGGUGCCUGCGAAAGCGAAAGCUGAAGUAUAGGUGCUGACGCCUGCCCGGUGCCGGAAGGUUAAGGAGAGAAGUUAGCGAAAGCGAAGCAUCGAACUGAAGCCCCGGUGAACGGCGGCCGUAACUAUAACGGUCCUAAGGUAGCGAAAUUCCUUGUCGGGU
rnacentral:rRNA from 1 species